rfam:Acyrthosiphon pisum strain LSR1 Contig20456, whole genome shotgun sequence.
UUUUAGGUUUUAUUAAAAACCAUGAAUUUACAGAACCAUUAAUUUU